CCUACUGGUGGCAGCAGUGAGGAAUAUUGGUCAAUGGACGAGAGUCUGAACCAGCCAAGUAGCGUGAAGGAUGACUGCCCUAUGGGUUGUAAACUUCUUUUAUAAGGGAAUAAAAUGUUCCACGUGUGCCUUUUUGUAUGUACCUUAUGAAUAAGGAUCGGCUAACUCCGUGCCAGCAGCCGCGGUAAUACGGAGGAUCCGAGCGUUAUCCGGAUUUAUUGGGUUUAAAGGGAGCGUAGAUGGGUUGUUAAGUCAGUUGUGAAAGUUUGCGGCUCAACCGUAAAAUUGCAGUUGAUACUGGCAGUCUUGAGUACAGUAGAGGUAGGCGGAAUUCGUGGUGUAGCGGUGAAAUGCUUAGAUAUCACGAAGAACCCCGAUUGCGAAGGCAGUUUACUAGACUGUGACUGACAUUGAGGCUCGAAAGUGUGGGUAUCAAACAGGAUUAGAUACCCUUGUAGUC
rnacentral:rRNA from 1 species